UCAAAACUCAGUUAACCAUACUUACCGAACCGAACCGAAACAUACAAUUCAAUUAAUCUUAUCACAAAAAAUUCAUUUUGACUCAGGUCCUUUGUCACAACUCACAUGAACCGAAUUUCACUCUAAACCCUAAUUUCACUCUUCACAUCUUCAAUCGAAGGUCCACAUGCAUAAAUCGAAGCUCUUCAAUCUCAACGAAGCUCUUCAAUCUCAAUCGGAGCUCACUCUCCACCUCUUCAAUCUCAAUGGAAGCCUAAUUCCUGCGAUAUUGUCUCUUCUCUGAUUUCACUACGAUUCCACCUCUUCUUCUUCUGCGAAUCUUCGUCUGAAGAUUCAUAAGGCUUAUGAUAAGUGAUGAGAGGCGUGUUUUAGGAGUAAUGUAGGUUUGCACAAAUAUCAUUGAUGGAUUGGAAAUGGUUUGUUAAGGCUAUGUUGCAGUAAACGAUGAAUAACACUUAAUUAUAAAAUGAUUGGUCUCGUUGGAACUCAAUGUAUUCAAUGUUGACGGUUGCCUUGAAGUAUAGAAAGGCCUUUCACGAGUUAAGCGUACGAGAGGUCACAUUUCGUCGAGAAAUGGAAGAGAAAACAACGCAUGGAAUAACAGAUGGAGAUUGGGACUAUGUUGAAUCGGUGCUUCCCUUGCUUGAAUUGUUUUAUAAAUCCACAAUUCGUUUGUCUGGUUCUUUGUAUGUGACAAGUGCUUCGUAUAUGGCAGAGGUGUUCGCCAUUGGGAAAGGGAUCAACAAGCAUAUGAGUAGUACAAAUAAGUACAUCAUGGAGACAGCGAACAAGAUGAAAAUUAAGUUCAACAAGUAUUGGGGAAUAAGUUCAAUAAGUACAUCAUGGAGACACCUUAAAUAUCUUGCUAUUGGGGAAUUAAGUUCAAUAAGUACAUCAUGGAGACACCUUAAAUAUCUUGCUAUUGAUGUCAGAUUUUAGAAAAAUUUAUGUUCAAUAUGGUGGUACAGAUUACUCUCAAUCUAGUCUACUUGAAACCAGGCAUGAUAAGGAUGGCGAUGAUAUUUGGUGCCACUACAGUCAAGAAACCGGACAUGUUUCUUAUUCUAAAGAUGAAAUUGAAGAGUAACUAAGGAAUUAUUGUGCAUCUUUAUACUUCAAACUGAAGUUGAUUUUAUUGUUACUUAA